rfam:Prevotella dentalis DSM 3688 chromosome 2, complete sequence.
GCAGUGCCCCGGCUCUGUCGCCGGCAUCCCUCGGGAUGCGGGAGGAAAGUCCGGGCAGCACAAGGCGCUCCACUUCCGAAAAUAGAAGCUAUUGGUGACAGUAGGCGCAGGCAGAAGAGAAUGACCGCCAUCCCCCGCGGAUGGCAAGGGUGAGAAGGUGGUGUAAGAGACCACCGGGCGGCGGGCGACCGUCGUGCCGUGCCGGCUGGAGGCUGCAAGUUCAUGUAAACCAUCGUCAUGUCAGGGUUGCCUGCCCGAGCCACUUCGAGUGGAACGAUGGAGGGUAGAACGCUUGAGGUGCAGGGCGACCUGCAUCGUAGAUAAAUGACAGAGCUCCUUCUCAAGGAGGAUACAGAACCCGGCUUAUCAGGGCGCUGCCUUG